GACGAACGCUGGCGGCGUGCUUAACACAUGCAAGUCGAGCGGUAAGGCCCUUUCGGGGGUACGACGAGCGGCGAACGGGUGAGUAACACGUGGGUGACCUGCCCUUAGCUCUGGGAUAAGCCUGGGAAACUGGGUCUAAUACCGGAUAUGACUCCAUGACGCAUGUUGUGGGGUGGAAAGCCUUGUGCGGCUAGGGAUGGGCCCUGCGGCCUAUCAGCUUGUUGGUGGGGUGAUGGCCUACCAAGGCGACGACGGGUAGCCGGCCUGAGAGGGCGACCGGCCACACUGGGACUGAGACACGGCCCAGACUCCUACGGGAGGCAGCAGUGGGGAAUCUUGCGCAAUGGGCGAAAGCCUGACGCAGCGACGCCGCGUGGGGAUGACGGCCU
rnacentral:rRNA from 1 species